CUUUGACUUGGACAAUUGAUGUAUUUCCCACGUACGAAACACUUCCAUCUUCUUUAUCAAUGGUCUUGAAUAGUUCUUUGUUUUUGCACACAUGGCGGAUAGCACCAGAGUCUAUCCACCAAGAAUCAACAUCUUCUAUCAUAUUGAUUUCAGAAAUGACAGCAACAAGAUUAUCUUUUGCUUCACUUGAAUUCUUUUCCUUGUUUUUCUUUUU
rnacentral:lncRNA from 1 species